UAAUACAGAGGGUGCGAGCGUUGUUCGGAAUUAUUGGGCGUAAAGCGCUUGUAGGCGGCGCGUCAAGUCGCGUGUGAAAUCCCCAGGCUUAACCUGGGAAGUGCGCGCGAAACUGACGAGCUUGAGUGCCGGAGAGGGUCGCGGAAUUCCCGGUGUAGAGGUGAAAUUCGUAGAUAUCGGGAGGAACACCAGUGGCGAAGGCGGCGACCUGGACGGACACUGACGCUGAGACGCGAAAGCGUGGGGAGCAAACAGGAUUAGAUACCCUGGUAGUCCACGCUGUAAACGAUGGGUGCUAGCUGUGGUGGGUGUUGACCCCUGCCGUGGCGCAGCUAACGCAAUAAGCACCCCGCCUGGGAAGUACGGCCGCAAGGCU
rnacentral:rRNA from 1 species